rnacentral:rRNA from 1 species
CCUACGGGAGGCAGCAGUGAGGAAUAUUGGUCAAUGGACGAGAGUCUGAACCAGCCAAGUAGCGUGAAGGAUGACUGCCCUAUGGGUUGUAAACUUCUUUUAUAUGGGAAUAAAAUGUUCCACGUGUGGGAUUUUGUAUGUACCAUUUGAAUAAGGAUCGGCUAACUCCGUGCCAGCAGCCGCGGUAAUACGGAGGAUCCGAGCGUUAUCCGGAUUUAUUGGGUUUAAAGGGAGCGUAGGUGGAUUGUUAAGUCAGUUGUGAAAGUUUGCGGCUCAACCGUAAAAUUGCAGUUGAAACUGGCAGUCUUGAGUACAGUAGAGGUGGGCGGAAUUCGUGGUGUAGCGGUGAAAUGCUUAGAUAUCACGAAGAACUCCGAUUGCGAAGGCAGUUCACUGGACUGCAACUGACACUGAGGCUCGAAAGUGUGGGUAUCAAACAGGAUUAGAUACCCCAGUAGUC